AGUGAACGCUGGCGGCAGGCCUAACACAUGCAAGUCGAGCGGCAGCGGGUCCUUCGGGCUGCCGGCGAGCGGCGGACGGGUGAGGAAUACAUCGGAACCUGCCCUGUCGUGGGGGAUAACCUAGGGAAACUUAGGCUAAUACCGCAUACGACCUACGGGUGAAAGCGGGGGAUCGCAAGACCUCGCGCGACAGGAUGAGCCGAUGUCCGAUUAGCUAGUUGGCGGGGUAAAGGCCUACCAAGGCGACGAUCGGUAGCUGGUCUGAGAGGAUGAUCAGCCACACUGGGACUGAGACACGGCCCAGACUCCUACGGGAGGCAGCAGUGGGGAAUAUUGGACAAUGGGCGCAAGCCUGAUCCAGCCAUGCCGCGUGAGUGAAGAAGGCCUUCGGGUUGUAAAGCCCUUUUGUCCGGGAAGAAAUCGUCUGGGCUAAUACCCCGGGCGGAUGACGGUACCGGAAGAAUAAGCACCGGCUAACUUCGUG
rnacentral:rRNA from 1 species